CCUACGGGGGGCAGCAGUGAGGAAUAUUGGUCAAUGGGCUUACGCCUGAACCAGCCAAGUCGCGUGAGGGAAGACUGCCCUAUGGGUUGUAAACUUCUUUUAUAUGGGAAUAAAAUGUUCCACGUGUGGGAUUUUGUAUGUACCAUAUGAAUAAGGAUCGGCUAACUCCGUGCCAGCAGCCGCGGUAAUACGGAGGAUCCGAGCGUUAUCCGGAUUUAUUGGGUUUAAAGGGAGCGUAGAGGGGUUGUUAAGUCAGUUGUGAAAGUUUGCGGCUCAACCGUAAAAUUGCAAUUGAUACUGGCGGUCUUGAGUGCGGUUGAGGUAGGCGGAAUUCGUGGUGUAGCGGUGAAAUGCUUAGAUAUCACGAAGAACCCCGAUUGCGAAGGCAGCUUACUAAACUGUGACUGACAUUGAUGCUCGAAAGUGUGGGUAUCGAACAGGAUUAGAUACCCGUGUAGUC
rnacentral:rRNA from 1 species